rnacentral:misc_RNA from 1 species
GAAAUGCGAUAAGUAAUGUGAAUUGCAGAAUUCAGUGAAUCAUCGAAUCUUUGAACGCACCUUGCGCUCCUUGGUAUUCCUUGGAGCAUGCCUGUUUGAGUAUCAUGAAAUCUUCAAAGUAAAUCUUUUGUUAACUCAAUUGGUUUCUACUUUGGUAUUGGAGGUCUUUGCAGCUUCACACCUGCUCCUCUUUGUUCAUUAGCUGGAUCUCAGUGUUAUGCUUGGUUCCACUCGGCGUGAUAAGUUAUCUAUCGCUGAGGACACUGUAAAAGGUGGCCAAGGUAAAUGCAGAAGAACCGCUUCUAAUAGUCCAUUGACUUGGACAAUACUUUUAUGAUCUGAUCUCAAAUCAGGUAGGACUACCCGCUGAACUUAAGC